rfam:Rattus norvegicus chromosome 5, whole genome shotgun sequence.
GGGGAUUUAGCUCAGCGGUAGAGCGCUUGCCUAGCAGGCACAAGGCCCUGGGUUCGGUCCCCAGCUCCG